rfam:Salmo salar isolate Sally breed double haploid chromosome ssa28, whole genome shotgun sequence.
UGAAUGCACUAACUGUAAGUCGCUCUGGAUAAGAGCGUCUGCUAAAUUACUAAAA